CCCUCCUACAAAGGCAUGUCAGUGGUUUCCUGUCCUUGGACAUGUAAAUAUUGGAGGCAAAGAGAUGUGGACUUGGAGAAAUCUGGAACUAGCUUGUUCUCCACAGGCUCAAGACCACCUUUUCCCACACAG
rnacentral:snoRNA from 1 species